rnacentral:rRNA from 1 species
UACGUAGGGUGCAAGCGUUGCCCGGAUUUAUUGGGCGUAAAGGGCGCGUAGGCGGCGCGGGAAGUCCGUGGUGAAAGCCCGAGGCUCAACUUCGGGUCGGCCAUGGAUACUCCUGGGCUCGAGCACUGUAGAGGCAGGUGGAAUUCCGGGUGUAGCGGUGGAAUGCGUAGAGAUCCGGAAGAACACCGGUGGCGAAGGCGGCCUGCUGGGCAGUAGCUGACGCUGAGGCGCGACAGCGUGGGGAGCAAACAGG